AUUGAACGCUAGCGGCAUGCUUAACACAUGCAAGUCGAACGAGUGGCGGACGGGUGAGUAAUAUCUCGGAAACUGCCCAGUAGCGGGGGAUAACUACUCGAAAGUGUGGCUAAUACCGCAUACUAUUGGAGCGGCCCAUAUUGGAUUAGCUAGUUGGUGGGGUAAUGGCUCACCAAGGCAACGAUCCAUAGCUGGUCUGAGAGGACGACCAUCCACACUGGGACUGAGACACGGACCAGACUCCUACGGGAGGCAGCAGUGGGGAAUAUUGGACAAUGGGGGAAACCCUGAUCCAGCCAUCCCGCGUGUAUGAGAAGGCCUUCGGGUUGUAAAGUACUUUUGGCAGAGAAGCGGUAUCUGCAGAAUAAGCACCGGCUAACUACGUGCCAGCAGCCGCGGUAAUUC
rnacentral:rRNA from 1 species